CAUGGGCCGGCAAGGGUCGCUAGGGCUUUUUUGAGGUUCACCGGCGGCGAGAAAUUGGGGCGGAGGGGGAGGGGAUUGUGGCGGAGGCGGAUAGGGUUUGACCCAUAUCCGAGCGAUGAAACCGCAUAAAUAGCGGUGGAGAGGGUCUUUUUCCGGGCCACGGCAAACUUUUUACAAGCUGGGCUCAGGGUACGGAGUAUCUUUUUGGCAAGAAAAACGGGCCGAACUUGUAUACUCGCCAGAAUUAUACGGGUUUAGCCCUUUUACGGGGUCUGCUAGAGAUACUCUUACUCAGGGUGUAUUUGAUGCCACAGGAAAAGCAAGGAAUUGUAAAAGGCGGUUGGAGUGGUUGUUAGAUUUUCUAUGAAAUGUUGGAAAAAUUUCUAAGGAUUUAAAUCCUCCAAAAAUCCUAUAUUCCUUUGAAUCAAAGGAGCCCUAAGUUCCCUAAGUUUUUCAAGCAGAAAUGUAAAGUCUCUCAUCACAACGGCCACACACGCACGGGCGCAGAGGAUCCUUGGCCACCAAUUGCACAUACACAUUUCUUGUACUAGUGCUAUACAUGUAGCAGCAGCAGUGAGUGCCAAACUCAACGCAGCACGACCAGAGACCCAACUGAUAAAUACAAGAUGUUGCUUCUGUCUUGCUGUCUGUUUGCUUGUGUUAAUAGCAAGCGCCGGUGGCAACAUCCCUGUCAGUUAUAGCACCAGCAUGGUCCAGCCACCAGGACAGAUACACACACACACAUACAUACAUACACACGCUUCUUCAGGUCGCCACCUUGGCCUUCAAGCAGAUCUCAUCUGGCCGGCGGUGACGUCUAGGCUGCCGGCCGCCGUCGCGGUCUGGUCCACCGCCGGCGACGACCAGCCGCCCCGGCCGGCCGGUAUAAAUAAUGUCAGGGAAGGGGAAGAUGAUGCCAUGGGAAUCUCGAAAGCGUAUGUGCUCAACGCACAAGCUGAUGGAGUUGUUGGUCACACGCAUGGCAUGAGAUGGAUGCAGUGGUGGUGAUGAAACCGUGACCUCACACACAUUGCCGACCAGUGGAAGGGAAGCUCAUUGGCAAGCACAACCUCAAAAGUGUUAUUGCUCUUAAUUAGGGCACAAGUUGAUUAACUGAGACCUUAUUCUUUGCUUAGAAAUCUUCCAAUGUACACACUGCGGUGCGGCGGGCUGCCUCGCGAAGCAACCCGCCGCAAGCCGCGUUUUUUCUGCGGAAGUUGCAGCCCAAACAAA